rnacentral:rRNA from 1 species
AGACAGGUGGUGCUAUGGUUGUCGUCAGCUCGUGUCGUGAGAUGUUGGGUUAAGUCCCGCAACGACGCGCAACCCUACCCUUAGUUGUCCAGCGGGUCAUGCCGGGCACUCUAAAGGAACUGCCAGCGUAAGCUGGAGGAAGUGGGGAUGACGUCAAAUCAUCAUGCCCUUUAUGUCCUGGGCUACACACGUGCUACAAUGGUCGGUACAGAGGGCUGCAAAGGAGCGAUCCGGAGCUAAUCCCAAAAAGCCGGCCUCAGUUCGGAUAGAAGGCUGCAACUCGCCUUCUUGAAGUCGGAAUCGCUAGUAAUCGCAGGUCAGCAUACUGCGGUGAAUACGUUCCCGGGCCUU